GACGAACGCUGGCGGCGUGCUUAACACAUGCAAGUCGAGCGGCGCGGCGAACGGGUGAGUAACGCGUGAGUAACUGCCCUCCUCUCUGGGAUAACAGUUGGAAACGGCUGCUAAUACCGGAUAGUGGGGGAUGACUCGCGAGCUAUCAGUUUGGUGGGGGGGUAGUGGCUUACGACGGCGACGACGGGUAGCCGGCCUGAGAGGGCGACCGGCCGCAUUGGGCUGGGAUACGGCCCAAACGCAGACGGGAGGCAGCAGUGGGGGAUAUUGGACGAUGGGCGAAAGCCUGAGGCAGCGACGCCGGGAGGGGGAUGAAGGGUUUCGGGUUGUAAACCUCUUUGGCUAUCGAAUGGGUAGGUGGAGAAGAAGCGCCGGCUAACUACGUGCCAGCAGCCGCGGUAAUAC
rnacentral:rRNA from 1 species